rnacentral:rRNA from 1 species
AACGUAGGAGGCGAGCGUUAUCCGGAUUUACUGGGCGUAAAGCGCGUGUAGGCGGUCUGACAAGUUGGAUGUGAAAGCUCCUGGCUUAACUGGGAGAGGUCGUUCAAAACUAUUAGACUUGAGAGUGGUAGAGGGAGGUGGAAUUCCGGGUGUAGUGGUGAAAUGCGUAGAUAUCCGGAGGAACACCAGUGGCGAAAGCGGCCUCCUGGACCAUUUCUGACGCUCAGACGCGAAAGCUAAGGUAGCAAACGGG